AUAGAUGAGAACAGCAACACCAUCUGUUCACUCUGUGUUCUCUGUGCCCAGUGUUGUGUGAAACUUUCUAUCCAAUAUCUUGCAAAAUCCUUACAGCAACCCUAUAAGGUGGGUAGAAUUUUUUGUGAUUCUCCUUCUACAGAGGGUGAUAGGGAGGCUGCAUAACCUGUCCCAGGUGGCCCAGUUGGGAUUUGAGCUCGCUUAGCUCUGGGUGCAAAGCCCAGGCUCUCUGGGCUGCCCAUCCCAACGGCCCCUCCCUCCUGGGGCUGAGGAGUUCGGGGGACAUUUGUUUCAAGGGAGCUGCCCUUGUUGGCCAUCUGGGUAUCUGUGGAGGGAGUCGUUAUGGGGACACCUGGGUGACAGACAGCUGAAGGGAGGAGGUGCUGUAAUCCUGAGCCCUUCUUCUUUCUAGUUGCUGACACCCCUACUUUGGGUAGGGUUGGGUCGGGGCCUUCCAAUCUCUAUAGGUUUUACUGCUUCCAAAGACCUGGCAUACUCCUGGUUUGUGAUGAUCAAGUUCUGGGUCAGAGCAGGGAGAAGCAGCCCAUGAGGCCGGUGAAAUGGUGCCCAAUGGAGGGGAAGGCCCUGGCUUGUGAUCUUGGGCAAGUCCCUCCUCAUACCCAGCUUCAGCUUCUCCUCUAUAAAAUGGCUCUAGGAUGCAGCAGUGAACAAAACAGACGAGUCUACAGAGUUGACAUGACAUGCAGGGGCCAUGGAGAAGGCGAGAACUGUGGAAACGUCGUUGUUGAGUAUGUCAAAUGGUGAUGUGUGCUGUAAAGAAGGAGUGAAGCUGGACUCAGAGCGGACAGGAAGACAGGGGUAGGGGUAGGUCUGGGCUUUUGUACAGGGUGAUCUGAGAAGGCCACUUUGACAAGGUGAUAUGUAAAGUGAGGACACAAGCCCUGUGACUAUGUGGGCACAACUCUCCUAGGAAAAGGGAGCAGCAAAGUG
rnacentral:lncRNA from 1 species